AUGAGAGAAUUCAGGGUUAUUAGGCACCUGCAACGCCCAAACACUCUACCGAGGUCCUACUCUUUUCAUCUGCCACAUGAGCCAGGAAGUGUGCUACACGCACAUGGCUACCCCCAUGGGCCGUCAAGGAAUUUCUCCAGCCUGACUCAGAAGGAACUGGGGAGCAGGGAGAAGAAAAAGAAUGCAAGGAUUUCUUGCUGCCUCAGGACAUCUCCACAUCAAAACUGAACAUGUGAGAAGUAGUUCUCCACUUUUCACACAACCAUCCCUCCCUGCACCCGUGUCCUAGGACCUCUGUGGACACCACAAAUUCUCAAGUCCUUGGCUUUACAACUCGCAAGCCUUCCUCCAAGUUGCCUUCAUCCCUGCAUCUCAGUCUCACCUGCCACCAAAUCCUGCCUACUGGUCCUCAAAAAUAGUCCUUCACCAUCCCAUUCUCAAUGCCCACUGCCCACCCACAGCCACAGGGACACUGAUGUGGAUUCUAGGUUCUGCCAAAAUAUCCCUGAGGAGGGGGUUUUCUAACCUCCUUCCCCACAUUUACCUCCACUCUGUGUCUCCCAUCCCCCACCAAACCUCUUACCCAUACCUGUGUCUGGGAGAGUUUUAAAAUAGGAGGAUCAGAGCUGUACAUUCAUGAUUUGUGCACUUUCAGGAUAAUACGUUAUGCCUCAUUGACAAGUUUUACAGGAAGAAUAGAAUAAGCAUCAAAAGUUAAAGAGAAAAAAUGUAAACCAUUACAUAUCACCAGAUCUAAAACAAGUUCCUCUUAACCUGAGUCUGGGUGAGGUGUCCCUUCCGUGGGCCCUCACGGGCCCCUGUCCUCCUACUCCAGCUUACGUGUUUCACCCAAGAGACCUGCUGUGUCCAAUACUAAUCACUAGCCCCGUGCACUUAUUUACAUUUAAACUAGGCCGGGUGCA
rnacentral:lncRNA from 1 species